UACAGAGGUCUCAAGCGUUGUUCGGGAUUCAUUGGGCGUAAAGGGUGUGUAGGUGGCGCGCUAAGUCGGGUGUGAAAUUUCGGAGCUUAACUCCGAAACUGCAUUCGAUACUGGCGUGCUUGAGGACUGGAGAGGAGACUGGAAUUUACGGUGUAGCAGUGAAAUGCGUAGAUAUCGUAAGGAAGACCAGUGGCGAAGGCGGGUCUCUGGACAGUUCCUGACACUGAGACACGAAGGCCAGGGGAGCAAACGGG
rnacentral:rRNA from 1 species